CAUACGACCGUACCGCAAACCGACACUGGUGCGCGAGAUGAGUAUUCUAAGGCGCUUGAGAGAACUCAGGAGAAGGAACUCGGCAAAUUGACACCGUAACUUCGGAAGAAGGUGUGCCCUAUUAGUGUGUAGUGAACAACGAAGCAUGAAUGGGUUGUAAAAAAUCGGUGGCUGCGACUGUUUAUUAAAAACACAGCACUCUGCAAACACGAAAGUGGACGUAUAGGGUGUGACGCCUGCCCGGUGCUGGAAGAUUAAAUGAUGGGGUGCAAGCUCUUGAUUGAAGUCCCAGUAAACGGCGGCCGUAACGAUAACGGUCCUAAGGUAGCGAAAUUCCUUGUCGGGUAAGUUCCGACCUGCACGAAUGGCGUAACGAUGGCCACACUGUCUCCUCCUGAGACUCAGCGAAGUUGAAAUGCUUGUGAUGAUGCAAUCUCCCCGCGGAAAGACGGAAAGACCCCAUGAACCUUUACUGUAGCUUUGUAUUGGACUUUGAACAGAUCUGUGUAGGAUAGGUGGGAGGCUUUGAAGCAGGGUCGCUAGAUCUUGUGGAGCCAACGUUGAAACACCACCCUGGUGUGUUUGAGGUUCUAACCUAGGUCCAUUAUCUGGAUCGGGGACAGUGCAUGGUAGGCAGUUUGACUGGGGCGGUCUCCUCCCAAAGCGUAACGGAGGAGUUCGAAGGUACGCUAGUUACGGUCGGACAUCGUGACGAUAGUGCAAUGGCAUAAGCGUGCUUAACUGCGAGACUGACAAGUCGAGCAGAUGCGAAAGCAGGACAUAGUGAUCCGGUGGUUCUGUAUGGAAGGGCCAUCGCUCAACGGAUAAAAGGUACUCUGGGGAUAACAGGCUGAUACCGCCCAAGAGUUCAUAUCGACGGCGGUGUUUGGCACCUCGAUGUCGGCUCAUCUCAUCCUGGGGCUGUAGCCGGUCCCAAGGGUAUGGCUGUUCGCCAUUUAAAGAGGUACGUGAGCUGGGUUUAAAACGUCGUGAGACAGUUUGGUCCCUAUCUUCCGUGGGCGCUGCAGAUUUGAGGAAGCCUGCUCCUAGUACGAGAGGACCGGAGUGGACACACCUCUGGUGUAUCGGUUGUCACGCCAGUGGCAUUGCCGAGUAGCUAAGUGUGGAAGAGAUAACCGCUGAAAGCAUCUAAGCGGGAAACUCGUUUCAAGAUGAGAUCUGCCGGGGCCUUGAGCCCCCUAAAGAGUCGUUCAAGACCAGGACGUUGAUAGGUCAGGUGUGGAAACAAA
rnacentral:rRNA from 1 species